CCUACGGGAGGCAGCAGUGAGGAAUUUUCUGCAAUGGGCGAAAGCCUGACAGAGCAAUACCGCGUGAGGGAAGAAGGCUUACUGAGUUGUAAACCUCGGUGCCUUAAGGAAGAAGAUCUGACGGUACUUAAGGUGGAAAGCAUCGGCUAACCCCGUGCCAGCAGCCGCGGUAAGACGGGGGAUGCAAGUGUUAUCCGGAAUUACUGGGCGUAAAGCGUCUGCAGGUGGUUUCUUAAGUCCACUGUUAAACCUUGAGGCUCAACCUCAAAUCUGCAGUGGAAACUAGGGAACUUGAGGAUAGUAGGGGUAGAGGGAAUUUCCAGUGGAGCGGUGAAAUGCGUAGAUAUUGGAAAGAACACCGAUGGCGAAGGCACUCUACUGGGCUAUGACUGACACUCAGAGACGAAAGCUAGGGGAGCAAAUGGGAUUAGAUACCCCAGUAGUCCUAGCCGUAAACGAUGGAUACUCGAUGUUGGACGUAUCGACCCGUUCAGUAUCUUAGCUAACGCGUUAAGUAUCCCGCUGGGGAGUACGCUCGCAGAGUGAAACUUAAGGAAUUGACGG
rnacentral:rRNA from 1 species